rnacentral:lncRNA from 1 species
UACUGACUAGGAUAUACAUACGGGGUCAAGCGUCAACUAAAGCGAUUGAAAACAAAAUAAUUUCUUACACUAAUUGCAAAAGUGCUAAAGCUAAAGGUAGUAGAGUUGGACCUAUGUACAAUGAUGCCUACAGGCUACAGGUCCAAAAGAAAAACUAAUAUCUUGCUUUUUUUUAAUAAAACCGUGAGCCAAAUCUCCCGGAAAUAUAUUAAGAACUGAAAGGGGACAAGAGAUUAGCAAGAGGCUAAUCACAACUCAAAC